GCCAGGUGUGGUGGCGGGCACCUGUAAUCCCCGCUACUUGGGAGGCUGAGGCAGGAGAAUCACUUGAACCCAGGAGAUGGAGGUUGCAGUGAGCCGAGAUUGCGCCACUGCACUCCAGCCUGGGCGACAAAGUGAGACUCCGUCUCAA
rnacentral:SRP_RNA from 2 species